GGAGGGUAUGCGAAUGGUUAGCAGGCUGACUCGAAAUCAGUUGCCGGGUAACCGGUUGAGGGUUCGAAUCCCUUGCCCUCCGC
rnacentral:tRNA from 1 species